CCUGGGGUCCUGCCUCUCAUGCUCAUGUGACCCUGUGUAGGAAGCAUCGGCACCCCAGGCCGCAGAGCAGAAAAAGGCUCAAAGUAGCCACAGACUUACCUAAGACCAGAGACCAUGGACCUGGAGCAGCGGUCAGAGGGCCAAGGUCCCACGUGUCCCCAGCACCAAGGACAGCACCCAGCACACAGCCGGUGCAGUGGAGGCUGAGCACCACAGGGAUGUCCCUCCAGCCCAGAGCCCCCUGGAAACAGAGACAGAUGAGGGGCAGAGCUGAACCGCCAGCUUAUCUGCUUCUGUGUUCUCUCCCUCUCUCCUCUUGAUAUGAAACCGCUACUCCCGCGAUUAAAUGUCUCUCAGCCUAACACCUAUGGGACCUGGGGAGAAAGAGGAGAGAGGCGCCAACCUUGACCCUGUCAAAUAAAUAUCUCUAACUUUUCCUGUCCUCGGGCUCCCCGG